AGGACGAACGCUGGCGGCGUGCUUAACACAUGCAAGUCGAACGGAAAGGCCCGCUUGCGGGUACUCGAGUGGCGAACGGGUGAGUAUCACGUGGGCAACCUGCCCUCAGCUUCGGGAUAACACUUGGAAACAGGUGCUAAUACCGGAUAAUAACCUUUCAUCGCAUGGUGUGGGGUUCAAAGUUUUUCGGCUGGGGAUGGGCCCGCGGCCUAUCAGCUUGUUGGUGGGGUAAUGGCCUACCAAGGCGACGACGGGUAGCCGGCCUGAGAGGGCGACCGGCCACACUGGGACUGAGACACGGCCCAGACUCCUACGGGAGGCAGCAGUAGGGAAUCUUGCGCAAUGGGCGAAAGCCUGACGCAGCCAUGCCGCGUGAAUGAUGAAGGUCUUAGGAUUGUAAAAUUCUUUCAGCGGGGACGAUAAUGACGGUACCCGCAGAAGAAGCCCGGCUAACGUUCGUGCCAGCAGCCGC
rnacentral:rRNA from 1 species